rnacentral:rRNA from 1 species
UAAGGAAUAUUGGUCAAUGGAGGCAACUCUGAACCAGCCAUGCCGCGUACAGGAAGAAGGCCCUAUGGGUCGUAAACUGCUUUUGAACAAGAGAAAACCCCGGUACGUGUACUGGGUUGAUAGUAUUGUUAGAAUAAGCAUCGGCUAACUUCGUGCCAGCAGCCGCGGUAAGACGAAGGAUGCAAGCGUUAUCCGGAUUCAUUGGGUUUAAAGGGUGCGUAGGCGGACUGAUAAGUCAGUGGUGAAAUCUCUCGGCUUAACCGAGAAACUGCCAUUGAUACUGUUAGUCUAGAGUACAGAUGAUGUGGGCGGAAUAUGACAUGUAGUGGUGAAAUACUUAGAUAUGUCAUAGAACACCGAUUGCGAAGGCAGCUCACAAAACUGUAACUGACGCUGAGGCACGAAAGUGCGGGGAUCAAACAGGAUUAGAUACCCGAGUAGUCCCUGAGCGGGCUGGCAAGGCGCAU